UCUGUUAGAGAAAAAGACCACACAAUGAGUAUGAAGGAGCAAGCUCAACCUCCAAUUCCCAAAGUAAGAAGGAUGUCCUCCUUAAAUGUGAUGGGAAAUGCAGAGACAACAGAUCAAAACAAAGCUGGUUAUUUUCAGAGCAAUGUCUCAAUAGUCCAAGCUGCUAAUUCGGAUGAUAUGGAGAUGACUGGGGCUCUAGAUAUAUCUAUUGGAGAAAAAGAGGAAGCUCUGUUUCCCAAAGUAAGCAGGAUGUCCACUUUUGAUUAUUUUGGAAAUGGAGAAAUAAUGGAUCGAAACAAAUCUAGCAACAACUUUAUUGCUCCAACUGCUAAUUCUGACGAUAUGGAGAUGACACAGUGUCAGACUAUUGUUCUCGAGGACAAACCAUCAAGUGGAAACAAACCAUUCAGCAACUCAAGGAAGAGCUUGCCUCUUGUACCUUUAUACAGAACUGUUAGAGAAGAUGAAACUCCGCAUCCAAUUCCCAGAGUAAACAAGAUGCCCUGCUUUGAUUUAGUUGGGAAUCGAGUGAUAAUGGAUCACAACAAAUCAGGCCACCUCCCGAUAGCCCAAACUGCAAAUUCUGAUGAGAUGGAGAUGACACAGUGUCAAACUAUUUUUCUUGAGGCCAAGCAGGUCAGUGGAGACAACCCUUUAAGCAACUCAAGGAAGAGCUGGCCCCGUACAUCUGUAUAUGGAACUGAAGGCAGUGAUGGGAUGGACAUGACUCAAGCAUUCACAGGGCGUAUAAUGCUAAAUGCUCUUUCACCCUCCAAGAAGGAAAGAGCUGAAAGCAUUCUGAUACCUGCUACAACUACAUCAGCUCAACAUAAUGAGAGUGACUGUAUGGACUUGACAUGCCAACCAUGUACAUUUGAUGGGAUUUCUCCACCAAGUCCUGAUGAAAUGGAAUUGACUAGAUGCACCACUAUUAACAUUGACUCAAACCGCACCUGGUUAGGGAGUGCUGUGGAUAUCACAGGUACAAGAAGAGUGCCAUCCUCUGCUAAUCAAACAAUUACUGUGGUUGAACCUAUGGAGAUGACGGAGGUACAUAUGGCACCAGUCAGUGUGCAAAAGCAUAAAGCUUUUAUGACUCGAAGAAAGUCAGGAGCGAGAAUGAUGUCCUUGAUGUGUGAUCCUGAAAACACUGAAGCUGAUAACCGUCAGACUGAUUUCUCCAACCCUGAUGAUAUGGACAUGACACAAUGUCAGACUGUUGUGCUUGAGGCUGAAAACUGCAAGAGGUCCAGACCAGUCAGUAAUUCGAGGAAGAGUUUGAACCUUUUAUAUACAUCCUCCAGUCCUGAUGUUGACGGUAUGGAGAUAACCCAGGCACACACCGGGAAUAUCGUGUUAAACAGCUUUGUAUCCAAUGAGAAACGUAAUCAUGAGAGAAAGCUGUUGCCUCCAGCACAAAGUUGUCAAAUGGAGGAUGAGUCUGACUGCAUGGAAAUGACAUGUCAAGUUAGUGCAUCAAAUCUAGCUAUUCCCU
ensembl:lncRNA